GACGGAGGAGGCAAGCGUUAUUCGGAAUUAUUGGGCGUAAAGGGCGCGUAGGCGGUUUCUUAAGUCAGAUGUGUAAUCCCCGAGCUUAACUUGGGAACUGCAUCUGAGACUGGGAGGCUAGAGUACUGGAGAGGGUGGUGGAAUUCCUCGUGUAGCGGUGAAAUGCGUAGAGAUGAGGAGGAACACCAGUGGCGAAGGCGGCCACCUGGACAGUAACUGACGCUGAGGCGCGAAAGUGUGGGUAGCAAACAGG
rnacentral:rRNA from 1 species